CUGCCUACGGGGGGCAGCAGUAGGGAAUCUUCCACAAUGGGCGAAAGCCUGAUGGAGCAACGCCGCGUGGGUGAAGAAGGGCUUCGGAUCGUAAAACACUGUUGUUAGAGAAGAAAGUGCGUGAGAGUAACUGUCCACGUUUCGACGGUAUCUAACCAGAAAGCCACGGCUAACUACGUGCCAGCAGCCGCGGUAAUACGUAGGUGGAAAGCGUUAUCAGGAUUUAUUGGGCGUAAAGGGAACG
rnacentral:rRNA from 1 species